UUAAUUGAAGAGUUUGAUCAUGGCUCAGAUUGAACGCUGGCGGCAGGCCUAACACAUGCAAGUCGAGCGGCAGCACAGAGGAACUUGUUCCUUGGGUGGCGAGCGGCGGACGGGUGAGUA
rnacentral:rRNA from 2 species